GAAGAAACCAAGGCAACAGAGAAGUUAAGGGACUUGCCCAAGGUCACAUGGGAAGUGCAGAGCAGGGCUGGGACUUAAAUUCAGGCAAUUUGGCUCCAGAGCCUCUUCUUCACUAAUGUAUAAUGCUGGUUGAACAAGCUACUUUCACUUAUCUUAGUUGAGCUUGACAGCAAACCUGUGAGCAAGGUAACACACAUAUUAUUAUUUUUCCUAUUUAUAGAUGGGAAACUAAAGCUCAGAAACUGCCUGAGCACAAAACACGUGCUUUCAAUGGCAAAGCUAAAACAAUUACUGGAGAUUUCUAACCAGAUCCUAAACCCAGGGGCAUUCUUCAAAGGGCUGUCUGUCGCUCCUCUUCGUCUCCCCUGAAGGUGACUGGAGGAGCCUCACUAGGAGACCUGUUGUCCAACUUCCCUCGUUUCUCACCCACCCCAGGAGUCAGAGGAUUCGCUCAGGAGAAGGCCGAGCAAAUCUUCAUGAUGCCAGACCAAGCCUGAAAAACAAAACAAGUAAUGGGUGCUCACUGGGGAUAAGUCAGCCCUGGCUCUAUCGUGGAAGUGCAGAAAGAUGCUCUCUCCCCCAGCCUUUCCUGAUCACCCCUAAUUCAAGCUAAUCAUUCCUUCCUUCAAACUCCCAAUCGUGCUUUGUUUUUUAUGCCUCUCUGUGGGUCCUUCCCAAUUUCCAUGUUUCCGUAUAGUUAUUUGUGCCGCUCCUCUAUUCUUCUGUGCCCUUCCUGAGGACAGGGGUAGAGUCUUGCCCAUCUCAGGAUCCCUGUGCCAUCUAGCAAGGUGUAAAACAGUAAGCAUGCAAUGCCCUGGGAGACCCUGCCUCUCCUGAGCUGUCUCAUGUCAUUUUGUCCUGACAUUUAGGCGGCCUCACUGGUGAUCACUGUAUGAAAAGGUUGGAAGCUGAAGAGAUACAUGCCGUAACUCAGCCCCCAAAAAAGAGAGACACUUAAAGUUGUUUCUAGAUACUGGAUCCCACAGCCUGCCUUCUUGUCUAUGGGUAAUUUGCAAUGUUCCUUCUAGUGCUGUCUUCCUUAUUUCCCAGGAAAUAGUUCAAUAAACUCAGUCACCUUGAAUGAUAAAAUUUUAGAGUUGGGAGGAGGUUUAUCAUACUACAGUGAAAGAAACUGAGGCUGGGGGAGGUUAAUCUAUGGCCUGAUAUCACACAGCAGAAGAACGCAGCAUUCCUUUCCCUAUCCCGUGUUGCCCCAGAGAGGACCUCACCUUUGCUUAAAAAUGUUUUCUCGCUAGCCCAGAAAUCUCUGCCAGUAAUCACUUUGGGGUAAUUCACAGCAUCAGAAGUCACUCUUGAUGCACAGAUACGGGCUGGGAAGAGCAGCGCUGGGAGCAACUGCGGGCCAUUGACACCAGCACGCCAGGGCUAUCCCCUCCCCUGCAGGGAGAGCAGCAGUGGUUCUCAAAAGCUGCAGGGUCCCCCUAGCAGGCCCUCAGGGAAAAUGAGAGGCAGGGGUUCUCGACACAGCUUUAAUAUCUCAAGAAUAAAUUGUGUAUUUACUUGAAGUAAUGCUACAAAUGUUAUUGAUUAAAAGAUUUUGUUUAGGAGACAAAAUAUUCUGAAUAUAAGAGGGAUGGAGGGGCAACUAAAAGUGGUCAUUUGUAUUUAAAAGGCUGAGAACUACUGACAGAAUAUUUACACCCCAAGUUAUUUCCUGAAGUGGGAUUUUGGGUCAGCCCUGAUUAAGGUAUUUGGGUAGUGGGGGAGGAAAGAGAAAUGUUGGGAGGAUUUCCAGAAAUCUUAAUUUUAUACCUUAUCCAGGAGAGAGUAGAAGGAAAAGAAAGAACCUCAAAAGUAAGAACUCAAAGAAGCUCAAGGGCAGGCCUCCAGUCGCACCAAUCCUGGUAGCUUUAGUCAACCCUAAAACUGGAGUUCAUACUCAGUUGACUACAGCAGGUAAAACAAAUAUUUGCCCAACCUGUCCCAUGUGUCAGGGCCUAAAAGAAAUAAAAGGGAUUGCAGUUUGCUUUUGUUUUUGUUCUAAUUACUAUUCUCAGACUGUUACCUCCCCAAGCCUAGUGCCAUGCUGCAUAGAUAUGCUGACUCCACUCAGCACCUGCCUCUGGAGCAGUUAGAAUGACUCUAAGAAAAACACUAAAAGGUUAGUAAGAUGAGAAAAAUAGGUGUCUGAGCAUAUUCUUUAACUGACAACAACUCAGAUCGUUUCAAAAAUUUGUUAAGAACUACUCAGCCAAUCUACCUGGCUUUGUAAAGGCCUCUUUCUCUGCAAAUCAGUAUGCUCAGAAAAAAUUCUGCUUCCUGGGAUCCACACAGCACAGCUCUAGGAGGUGCCAUUCCCAGCAAGUCUGUAUGAAUGGCACCCCAUGGAGUUGUGUGGAUUUUACAACCCGCAAGGCCAAACAUGGCAGCCCUCUUUGUUCCUGGCUCCACAUUAAGUGGGCUUUAAUGCUGAAGUCCAAAGACGUUCACUUCUUUCUGAGGACAAUCUCAGUUGUUUGUGGCAACAGGAAAGAACCUGCCUUUCCCCCCAGCACAUGUCUUUUGUCCUCAUUGGGGAUGGGCUGCCCAAUGGACAGUCUGCUUGCAAGCUUGUGUGGACUCGCCUGUGGGAAGUUCUCUGGGAAGAAGAUCAUCACGAAUGGUAAGGCAUGCUGUCAUCCCUGCUAUUUUGUGUCCCGCUGGGAAGUGAGUUUGUUGUUUGUGUGUCUGGUUCUGAAAGGCAGCAGGACAGUGGAAGCAGGUUGUAGGUAGGUUCACCACCCUUCCCCUAAUCCCUCAGGACAAAAGGUAUGGGCAGCAUGACGAGUGGGUGAGUUCACAGUUCUCCUCUCUGACAGCUGAGUCUAAAAGACCAGAAAGAAUAGAGGUAGAAUAACAGGAAACAUGUUACCGUAGCAAACGAGGAAAUUCACAUGUAUGCAGGCUAUGAUGGAAACCACCGUAUUCUUACAGCCUACAAAAUAAACAGAGAAGAGGUCCUCUCUUGCUCUCUUCCCAGGGCCAUCAUUCCCCUGGCUCCAUUCAUUCCCCUCUGACUUCUCUUCACGGGCAUUUGUCAGUAUGAUUCUCACAAACUACUCCUUGUUGACGGAAACUCCAUUUUCCAUACCCAAGAAAACAUUCUCCAAGGUUAAAGGACCGUCAUAUGGAUCUUCCUAGUGUUUUACAACCUGAAAUCUGAUUGUUCAACAUCUGCCCUUUUAUAUCUUUUAACUGUUCUCGUUAAUAUAUACCCAGAGUAAAAAUAAUCCAAACAAGACAGAAAAGGACAAGAGAAUAAGAAUCAUCUGAAACCCACCAUUCAUAAAUGACCGCUUUUAAUGUUUUGAUGGACAUCCUUCCAUAAAUACACAUAGUAGGAAGAUUAGCCCUGAGCUAACUACUGCCAGUCCUCCUCUUUUUUGCUGAGGAAGUUUGGACCUGAGCUAACAUCGUGCCCAUCUUCCUCUACUUCAUAUGUGGGACGCCUACCACAGCAUGGUGUGCCAAGCAGUGCCAUGUCCACACCUGGGAUCCGAACUGGCGAACCCCGGGCCGCUGAGAAGCGGAACGUGUGAACUUAACCGCUGCGCCACCAGGUCAGCCCCUAUGAGGCUCCUUUUUAUUCUUCAUUUGGAUAUUGGUAUUACCUACUACCUAAAACAAGAAACGAAUAAUCCUGCUGUUACUAGUGACAAUUUACAUGUUUAUAGUUAUUUGUAGCUAAAAAGCAAUUGUACAUCCUUGAUCUUGUAUAACCCUGAAGCUGGGAAAAAGUCUUUGGGAAGUCCAUCUCCCUCCUUUGUGCAUUUAAUUCUAAUCAUUCCUCAGAUUGGUGUAGUACUUUACAACUUAAAAAGUCCCUUUACAUUAUUUUAUUUGAUUAUUACAAAAAAUCAAAGCGUGAGACAAAUAAUCAUAAUGCAAUGAUAAUGCAUUGAUAGUCAUAACUACAUUUAGAUUUACAUAAUACAUUGAUAAUGGUCACAACUACGUGUAUUGAGAACUUGGUGUGCGCCAGGCUCUGUGCUAGGUCCAUUACAAUGCAUUGUCUCGUGUAGUCCUCAUUAUCCCCAUCUCAGAGAUAACAGAGCUAAGGUUUGGAGAGGUCAAGUAAUUUGAUCAAAUUUCCACAGCAAAUCCAGGUGGAAUUCUAAUGCAAAUGUGUCUGACUUUACAAUUCCCGUUUUUAGCCACUGCAUCAUACUGCCUCUUAUAACAACUAAACUUUGUACACACUUUGCAAAACAUUCUAACGUAUAUUGUUAUGUCCAUCUCCU
rnacentral:lncRNA from 1 species